AACGAACGCUGGCGGCAUGCCUAACACAUGCAAGUCGAACGAGACCUUCGGGUCUAGUGGCGCACGGGUGCGUAACGCGUGGGAACCUGCCCUUAGGUUCGGAAUAACUCCCCGAAAGGGGUGCUAAUACCGGAUAAUGUCUUCGGACCAAAGAUUUAUCGCCUUUGGAUGGGCCCGCGUUGGAUUAGCUAGUUGUUAGGGUAAAAGCCUACCAAGGCUACGAUCCAUAGCUGGUCUGAGAGGAUGAUCAGCCACACUGGGACUGAGACACGGCCCAGACUCCUACGGGAGGCAGCAGUGGGGAAUAUUGGACAAUGGGCGAAAGCCUGAUCCAGCAAUGCCGCGUGAGUGAUGAAGGCCUUAGGGUUGUAAAGCUCUUUUACCCGGGAUGAUAAUGACAGUACCGGGAGAAUAAGCUCCGGCUAACUCCGUG
rnacentral:rRNA from 1 species